ACCAGGAGGUUGGCUUGGAAGCAGCCACCCUUGAAAGAGUGCGUAAUAGCUCACUGGUCAAGUGAUUCCGCGCCGACAAUGUAGCGGGGCUCAAGUCAUCCGCCGAAGCUAUGGCAUUCGUACAUCAACCACCAACGUGGGUACGGAUGGGUAGGGGAGCGUCGUGUUCCGAGUGAAGCGGCAGAGUGAUCUAGCCGUGGACGCCAUACGAGUGAGAAUGCAGGCAUGAGUAGCGAAUGAAGGGUGAGAAACCCUUCCGCCGGAUGACCAAGGGUUCCAGGGCCAGGCUAAUCCGCCCUGGGUGAGUCGGGGCCUAAGGCGAGGCCGAGAGGCGUAGUCGAUGGAUAACGGGUUGAUAUUCCCGUACCCGCGUAGGAGCGCCCAAGACGAACCUGUUUGUACUAACUGCGCAAAGGGCCGGCGACCUUCGGGUCAAGGGUUCGGAGUCCAGGACCUCGAAUGGUAGUAGUUUAGCGAUGGGGUGACGCAGGAAGGUAGAUGAUCCCGGCCGGUGGUUGUGCCGGGGUAAGCGUGUAGACCGUGUCAUAGGCAAAUCCGUGACACACAUAGGUUGAGACGUGAUGCCGAGCCGUUUCAGGUGAAGUCAUUGAUCCUAUGCUGCCGAGAAAAGCCUCUAGCGAUGUUCCGAGCGGCCCGUACCCUAAACCGACACAGGUGGUCAGGUAGAGAAUACCAAGGCGACGGGCGAACUGUGGUUAAGGAACUCGGCAAAUUGCCCCCGUAACUUAGGGAGAAGGGGGGCCGGACACGUGAAGCUACUUGCUGGUGGAGCGUGGUAUGGCCGCAGAGAGCAGGGGGAAGCGACUGUUUACUAAAAACACAGGUCCAUGCCAAGUCGUAAGACGAUGUAUAUGGACUGACGCCUGCCCGGUGCUGGAACGUUAAGGGGACCUGUUAGCCCGUGAGGGCGAGGCGGAGAACUUAAGCGCCAGUAAACGGCGGUGGUAACUAUAACCAUCCUAAGGUAGCGAAAUUCCUUGUCGGGUAAGUUCCGACCUGCACGAAUGGCGUAACGACUUCCCCACUGUCUCAACCACAGGCCCGGCGAAAUUGCAGUACGAGUAAAGAUGCUCGUUACGCGCGGCAGGACGGAAAGACCCCGGGACCUUUACUAUAGCUUGACAUUGG
rnacentral:rRNA from 1 species